AUUCCAGCUCCAAUAGCGUAUAUUUAAGUUGUUGCAGUUAAAAAGCUCGUAGUUGGAUUUCGGGCGGGGUUGGCCGGUCCGCCGUUUCGGUGUGCACUGGCUGGUUUCGUCUUAUUGUCGAGGACGCGCUUCUGGCCUUUACUGGUCGGGACGCGGAGUCGGCGCAGUUACUUUGAAAAAAUUAGAGUGUUCAAAGCGGGCAUACGCUUGAAUAUAUUAGCAUGGAAUAACACUAUAGGACUUCUGUCCUAUUUUGUUGGUCUUCGGAACGGGAGUAAUGAUUAAUAGGGAUAGUUGGGGGCAUUAGUAUUUAUUAGCUAGAGGUGGAAUUCUCUAAUUUGAUAAAGACUAACUUAUGCGAAAGCAUUUGCCAAGGAUGUUUUCAUCG
rnacentral:rRNA from 1 species